GGGCUCAUAGUUCAGGGGGAGAACGCCUGCUUCACACGCAGGAGGUCCCUGGUUCAAAUCCAGGUGAGCCCA
rnacentral:tRNA from 1 species